AGAGUUUGAUCAUGGCUCAGAUUGAACGCUGGCGGCAUGCCUURCACAUGCAAGUCGAACGGCAGCAUGGGUGCUUGCACCUGAUGGCGAGUGGCGAACGGGUGAGUAAUGCAUCGGAACGUACCCGGAAGUGGGGGAUAACGUAGCGAAAGUUACGCUAAUACCGCAUAUUCUGUGAGCAGGAAAGCAGGGGAUCGCAAGACCUUGCGCUUUCGGAGCGGCCGAUGUCGGAUUAGCUAGUUGGUGAGGUAAUGGCUCACCAAGSCGACGAUCCCUAGCUGGUUUGAGAGGAUGAUCAGCCACACUGGAACUGAGACACGGUCCAGACUCCUACGGGAGGCAGCAGUGGGGAAUUUUGGACAAUGGGGGCAACCCUGAUCCAGCCAUGCCGCGUGAGUGAAGAAGGCCUUCGGGUYGUAAAKCUCUCUCUCGUSCUGAGGAAGAAAUACGGCCAAUGACGUGAUUAAUCUCGCCUGUCGUGUGAUAGCAUCUGGCUAUCGCUGUWAAACGAACCGCCRGCGUUCUCUGUGACCCCGAAUCGAAGAGCUAU
rnacentral:rRNA from 1 species